rnacentral:rRNA from 1 species
GACGAACGCUGGCGGCGUGCCUAAUACAUGCAAGUAGAACGCAUAGUUUAUACCGUAGCUUGCUACACCAUAGACUGUGAGUUGCGAACGGGUGAGUAACGCGUAGGUAACCUGCCUGGUAGCGGGGGAUAACUAUUGGAAACGAUAGCUAAUACCGCAUAAUAUUAAUUAUUGCAUGAUAAUUAAUUGAAAGGUGCAAUUGCACCACUACCAGAUGGACCUGCUUUGUAUUAGCUAGUAGGUGAGGUAACGGCUCACCUAGGCGACGAUACAUAGCCGACCUGUGCAGGUGAUCGGCCACACUUGGACUGUGACACGGCCCAGACUCCUGCGGGAGGCAGCCGUAGGGAAUCUUCGGCAAUGGACGAAAGUCUGACCGAGCAACGCCGCGUGGGUGAAGAAGGUUUUCGGAUCGUAAAGCUCUGUUGUAAGAGAAGAACGGGUGUGAGAGUGGAAAGUUCACACUGUGACGGUAUCUUACCAGAAAGGGACGGCUAACUACGUG